rnacentral:rRNA from 1 species
AUGGCGGCGCCUGCUGCUCUUGACGUUAGCCUCGAGAGGGUAGCUACGGCACCGGCCGUUCCACGACCCGGCAUCGGCGUCGACAGUGCCACCGCGGAGGCGGAGUUCCUCUGGGAGCUGCGCAAGUACGUGCUGCUCCUCGCCACGCUCGCGGCCUCCGUCACCUACUCCGCGGGGCUGAGUCCGCCAGGCGGGUUUUGGCCCGACAACGGCGCCGACGGAGGCGCGCGUCUCGCCGGCGACCCGGUGCUCCUCGUCACCUACCCGCGCCGAUACAAGGCCUUCUUCUACUGCAACGCCACCGCCUUCGUCGCCUCCCUCGUCAUCGUCAACCUCCUGCUCGUCCGCUCGCUCGGCCACCGCCGGCGGUGGCUGCGCGCGCUCCAGGCCGCCAUGCUGCUCGACCAGUUCGGUCUCAUGGGGGCCUACGCCGCGGGCAGCUGCAGGGACGCGGCCAUGUCCGCCUACGUCUUCGUUCUCGUCGCCUUGGUUGGCUGCUACGUCUCCGCCCACGUCCUCGUCUUCGUGCUCUUCGCCCCGACAGCGCGCGGCGACAAGGUCACGCCGGCCGACAGAGUGGAGCGCGCGCGCAAGUACCUGCUCAUCUUCGCGACGCUGGCGGCGACCAUCACGUACCAGGCCGGUGUCAGCACGCCGGGCGGGUUCUGGCCGGGCAGCCAGGACAGCGACCACCUGGCCGGCGACCCCAUGCUCCGCGUCCAGCACCCGUCCCGCUUCAUGGUCUUCUUCUACUCCAACACCACCGCGUUUGUCGCGUCGCUGGUCGUCGUCAUGCUGCUCAUGAGCAACACCGUGACGCAGCACGGGUUCCGGUCAUGCGCACUCUGGGUGUGCACGGGCGCGGCCAUGGUGGGGCUCAUGGGCGCCUUCGCCUCCGGGAGCUGCCGGAGCCUCAAGACCUCCAUGUACGUCGUCGCGCUGGUGGCCGCCGUUCUCCUCUACAUCGCCAUUCAGGCACUCGUCUUCUUGUGCGAGCCCGUGAAGAAUUUGAUCCACGACUGGCAACAAGCACUUGACAGGUACCUCAACAAAUUUGAGAGAUUGGACUUGGAGCAGCAAAAUCAGCAGCAAAGCAGAGCAUCCGAGCACGGCAAUGACGACGCGUACCAGAUUCUGAGGAAGUCGCGGAUGUAUCUGCUGCUCCUCGGGAUUCUUGCGGCGAGCGUCACAUACCAAGCCGGACUGAACCCGCCGGGCGGCUUCUGGCAAGGCGAUGCAGCCGCCGACAGUCGCCACCACUACCUCGCCGGCGACCCGAUCCUCCACAUCACGUAUCCCCGGCGAUACCUGGCCUUCUUCUACUGCAAUGCUACCGCCUUCGUCGCGUCGCUCGUCAUCCUCAUACUCCUGCUGAGCAACAUACUCAGCACCCAGGGGAUCAAGUACUGCGCGUUGCAGGUCGCCAUGAUCCUGGACCUGUUUGGCCUGAUCGGCGCCUACGCCGCCGGGAGCUGCCGGCAAGUGUCCAAAUCCGUGUACGUCUCCCUGCUCGUCGUUCCGGUGUUCCUCUACGUCGGCAUCCACGUCGUGGUCUUCAUGUUAGAAGUGUGGCCGGCUCGCCCGGCAUGGAUCCAAGCGUUGAGUGAGAAGAUGGAGCAGUGCGCACCCAGCUGGCUCAAGGAGCUGUUCGAGCACCCCGAGCAGGGGGAGGAGGAGGCGGACGUCGAACGGACACUGGAGAAGAGGCGGAAGCUUCUGCUGCUUCUUGCAAUCCUUGCGGCGAGCCUCACCUACCAAGCUGGCAUGGGCCCGCCGGGCGGCUUCUGGCAAGAGAGCAAGCUCGGCCAUGUCGCCGGCGACCCGGUGCUCAACGACAACUACCCGCGCCGCUACGUGGCCUUCUUCUACUGCAACGCGACGGCCUUCGUCGCGUCCCUUGCCGUCAUCAUGCUGCUGGUGAACAGGAAGCUCUCGGCGAGAGGGAUACGGUCUUACGCACUGCGGGUGUGCGUGAUCCUCGACCUCGUCGGCCUCAUGGGCGCCUUCGCCGCCGGCAGCUGCCGGAAGGUGUCGACCUCGAUCUACGUCCUCGUUCUGACAUUCGCAGUUCUACUCUGCAUCGCUCUCCAGGUCACGCUGGUCUUGUCGGAGACAGCGCGAGGACUUGCGAAGAGGCUCCUGUCAAAGCUCGGCGCGGUCGAAGACCAAGCCGGAGGCGACGGGCGGCAUGACACGGCCGUCGCCGCCGGAGGGACGCGUGAUCUCUGGGACGAGAAGCUGCCCAAAUACCUGCUGCUGCUCGCGGCGCUCGCUGCCGCCGUCACGUACCAGGCCGCGAUGAGCCCGCCGGGCGGCCUCUGGGGCGACGUCGUCUCGACCGGCCACAUCGCCGGCGAUCCGGUUCUCGCGAGCAACUACCCCCGCCGGUACAAGGCCUUCUUCUACUGCAACGCGACGUCCUUCAUGGCGUCCCUGGUGAUCAUGGUCCUCCUGCUGAUCAAGAGGGUGAGCGACACCCCGCCGGCGCUCUUGGCGCUGCACGCCGCCAUGAUCCUGGACCUGUUUGGACUCAUGGGUGCAUACGCCGCUGGGAGCUGCAGGAGGGUGAGGACGUCUGCCUACGUCCUGGCGCUGGUCGUCGGGGUCUCGGCGUACAUUGCUGUGCUCGUCGUGGCAUCCAUCGGCAUAGCGGGCCGACUGAGAAGCGCAAUGGACUGGCUGACGGAGCAAGUGACACGGUGCUUCUCCGUGCAUGAUAUGUAG